UUGAAGAGUUUGAUCAUGGCUCAGAUUGAACGCUGGCGGCAGGCCUAACACAUGCAAGUCGAGCGGUAGCACAGAGAGCUUGCUCGGGUGACGAGCGGCGGACGGGUGAGUAAUGUCUGGGAAACUGCCUGAUGGAGGGGGAUAACUACUGGAAACGGUAGCUAAUACCGCAUAACGUCGCAAGACCAAAGUGGGGGACCUUCGGGCCUCAUGCCAUCAGAUGUGCCCAGAUGGGAUUAGCUAGUAGGUGGGGUAACGGCUCACCUAGGCGACGAUCCCUAGCUGGUCUGAGAGGAUGACCAGCCACACUGGAACUGAGACACGGUCCAGACUCCUACGGGAGGCAGCAGUGGGGAAUAUUGCACAAUGGGCGCAAGCCUGAUGCAGCCAUGCCGCGUGUGUGAAGAAGGCCUUCGGGUUGUAAAGCACUUUCAGCGGGGAGGAAGGCGGUGAGGUUAAUAACCUCACCGAUUGACGUUACCCGCAGAAGAAGCACCGGCUAACUCCGUGCCAGCAGCCGCGGUAAUACGGAGGGUGCAAGCGUUAAUCGGAAUUACUGGGCGUAAAGCGCACGCAGGCGGUCUGUCAAGUCGGAUGUGAAAUCCCCGGGCUCAACCUGGGAACUGCAUUCGAAACUGGCAGGCUAGAGUCUUGUAGAGGGGGGUAGAAUUCCAGGUGUAGCGGUGAAAUGCGUAGAGAUCUGGAGGAAUACCGGUGGCGAAGGCGGCCCCCUGGACAAAGACUGACGCUCAGGUGCGAAAGCGUGGGGAGCAAACAGGAUUAGAUACCCUGGUAGUCCACGCCGUAAACGAUGUCGAUUUGGAGGUUGUGCCCUUGAGGCGUGGCUUCCGGAGCUAACGCGUUAAAUCGACCGCCUGGGGAGUACGGCCGCAAGGUUAAAACUCAAAUGAAUUGACGGGGGCCCGCACAAGCGGUGGAGCAUGUGGUUUAAUUCGAUGCAACGCGAAGAACCUUACCUGGUCUUGACAUCCACAGAACUUAGCAGAGAUGCUUUGGUGCCUUCGGGAACUGUGAGACAGGUGCUGCAUGGCUGUCGUCAGCUCGUGUUGUGAAAUGUUGGGUUAAGUCCCGCAACGAGCGCAACCCUUAUCCUUUGUUGCCAGCGGUUAGGCCGGGAACUCAAAGGAGACUGCCAGUGAUAAACUGGAGGAAGGUGGGGAUGACGUCAAGUCAUCAUGGCCCGACCAGGGCUACACACGUGCUACAAUGGCAUAUACAAAGAGAAGCGACCUCGCGAGAGCAAGCGGACCUCAUAAAGUAUGUCGUAGUCCGGAUUGGAGUCUGCAACUCGACUCCAUGAAGUCGGAAUCGCUAGUAAUCGUAGAUCAGAAUGCUACGGUGAAUACGUUCCCGGGCCUUGUACACACCGCCCGUCACACCAUGGGAGUGGGUUGCAAAAGAAGUAGGUAGCUUAACCUUCGGGAGGGCGCUUACCACUUUGUGAUUCAUGACUGGGGUGAAGUCGUAACAAGGUAACCGUAGGGGAACCUGCGGUUGGAUCACCUCCUU
rnacentral:rRNA from 1 species